GGUGGGAGCCUUGUGCUUCGUUACCCACCGCCGGGACGCCAACCCAGGGUGCCCACCUGUGCGCCAUCCCGCCGUGGAGCAGCCCUUUGGUGGCCCCUGCUCCACAGAAUGCAAGGUCACACGGGAUGUCUACAAGCAGAGCUAUUCAAGCAAGACUGCCCUCACCUGGGUGUUGCUGUUGAGCUUUUGGAAGAUGUCAUAGAUCUGGUCCUUGAAUCCACGGCUUAACAUUUCAUCAGCUUCGUCCAGUACAAACAUUUUGAUGUAUUUGGGAGCUAGAGAAUAAAAAAAGCCAAUAUACAGCAUAUAAUUAGGUAAAUGUGUGAUAUAUGUACCCAACUUUCCUGAUAACAGAGGGACCAAGUAGUCUGCUCUCAGAAUACAAAGACUGAUCCUUUGCCGAGGACUUUCCUGCCUGGCCAGACAUCAGCCCUGGCAAGUAGAACACUGCCUGGGCUGCACUGCCAGGAAAGCCAGACUCAGAUGACACGCAUGGGCCUCAUCACAGAGCAACUCUUCCCAUAAGGGAAAUGAGCAUCCUCAGGAAUGACUUUGGCUUAAGCUGAAAGACGCGGAAAGCAUGCAUGAGAGGAAGUGACCUAGGGGACUGUUGAACUCAAUUACUUACACAGGUACCUCCGGUUAAGCAUAUCGAACACACGGCCAGGGGUUCCCACGAUGAUAUGGGGAGCUUCCAUCUGCAGUUUCUGCACCUCAGCACGAACAUUGGUGCCCCCAAUACAGGCGUGACAGGAGGCACCCAUGUAGUCUCCUAGUGCCAUAACCACCUUCUGUAUCUGAGCCCGGAGAAAAACAGGUGCUCAUAUAUUAGCUCCAACUGUGCCAGGCACCACCAUUCAAUGUUUUUCACAUACUUAUUCCUAACCAACCACCCUGGGGGGUGUGCACUAUUAGUAAACUCACAUUCAGCUGAGAAACUGGCAGAGGUUAAAAUCCUUAAGAUCGUGCUGUCAAUAGGUGGCAAGACAGGAUUUCAACUCAGUCUGGUUCCUGAGUAUACAGUGAGUCACAAUAAAGCCGCUCAGAUAAUUCAGUGUCUUAUUCUAGACAUUCAGAACCCUUAACUUUCUGAAAGCUAAUUUGACUAACAGUUUUGCUCGUCAUCCAGGUUGGUGUGCAAUUUGGAGUGCAACGGCACACAACCUUGGCUCACUGCAAUCUCUGCCUCCCAGCUUCAAGUGAUUCUCCUGCUUCAGCCUCCCAAGUAGCUGGGAUAACCACUGCCUGCCAACAUCACCAUGCCUGGCCAAUUUUUAUAUUUUUUUAGUAGAGAUGGUGUUUCACUAUGUUGGCCAGGCUGGUCUAACUCCUGACCUCAAGUGAUCUGCCUGCCUCAGCCUCCCAAAGUGUUUGGAUUAUAGGAGUGAGACACCGUGCCCAGCCAGCAACCGGUUUUAUAAAACAGUUGAGCACAUCCAUGUUCUAUUGCACUCCUGCCAUAGGACGCAAGCUACAAGGCAUAUUCACUCAGAAAAACUGAGUCCCAAAUGCCUUAGAACAAGAGCUCUGCUGUAACUUUACAUUAUUCACACCCAGAAUAGUCACUGCAUCUGCCACAGAACGUUUAAUGCCCUGAGCCUCAAUAAGUGCUCUAUUUGAGACUACUGUCUCGGCAUGACCCAGGAAGAAGAGUCCAGCGUUAGAAUUGUAUGUGCCCCAGAGACAAAACAGCUCUGCCCAUUAAAGCCAGGGUGAAAAAAGACUGUCCAUCUGCUCUGCGUAAGAGCACCACCACCAAUGAGGUGUGUCUCAGCCCACUGUGUAGGUGCUUAUUCAGAAAACAGCCACCAAACUUGCCCAGCCAGCAAGGCUCCACCCAAGAACCUUUCCAUUUGACUCAGAAAAUAGGUGGAGGAAGUGACGGUUUUGUUUGGGCAGGAAACAGCUUCUAAUUAAGCCAGCAGAUCAAGAGCAUUAGGGCGCCCAUCUCUUCCUCCCAAACUAGUGAUCAGAACUAAACUCUCUGGUCCUUGGAUUAUGCCCAUCAUCCCUAAAUCAGCCCUUUCGGAGGGAAAAACCACUCUUACCUGCUGAGCCAAUUCUCGAGUGGGCGCUAGGACCAAGGCCUGGGUGGCCUUUAGAUCUAACUCAAUCUGCUGCAGAAUCGAUAUGGCAAAUGUGGCCGUUUUCCCAGUCCCAGAUUGGGCUUGAGCAAUCACGUCAUAACCUAAACAAAUAAAUUAGGAGUUAAACGUGGUGAAAAGGAUAUACUUUGGAAUAUUCAAACCAUAGGUUAACGAGUGAACCAAUGAUUUUGUGCUUCACAAGCUACCUUACCCCAAUCAAUAGUUACACAACGGGAACCAGAUCAGAAACAAGGAUGGGUUGUUAACUCAUCUAGUAUUGCACACCAACCUGGACUAGAAGUACGACUAUACAAGCAAGUACAAGGUGGCUACAAUACCAUCUCUUUUAAGGAAACCUAUGUGUCCAAGGCAUGAACCAGGCAUAGGCACAGAUCAAAAGCCAAGCUGGGAUGAACAAGGGGUUGCUUUGUCCCUGGCUGAUAUGAGAUGCGCAUCACCAACCAGAUGCCACUCUACCCAGGUCAGGGACAGUCCAAAAUGUCUUCAGGGACUGAGAGAUCUCACCCUUGAUACAAGGUAGAAUGGCUCGCUGCUGGAUGGCAGAAGGCUUCUCAAAACCAUAGGCGUAGAUGCCACGGAGAAGGGACUCCGAGAGGUUCAUGUCAUCAAAGCUGUCAACAAUCUCAUUCCAGUUACUCUAUGGGAUGCAAAAAAAAAAAUUAAAGCUUGAGUGGUCGAAAAGGUGGGGCUGUGCUAUAGUCUCGGAGCAAACAGGAUCGGGUAUCUACUAACCAAGGCCUCAGAGCUUACAACCCCUUUUCCCUUGAAGGAAACCAGCUGUUUCUAGAUGGUCUGGGUAUCAAUCUAAAGGGCCACUGGAAGUCUAUACAGCUGUUAAGUCUGAGAACUGUAAUGGGGGAGGACAGAACUCCAUUUGUCCAUUCUCACCUCGAUGACGCCUUCGGGCUCCAUCCCAUCAGGGCCAUUGUCUCUGGAUCUGUUGGUUUAAAGCAGAAGUUUUGUUCCCUGCCCCACUGAAGCACUCAAAUCCUGAUAGCUGGGCUCCUUCUGUCAGCAGUGGCCAGCAUGCUGUCAACGUGCUCUCCCAGAUCCAACUCCCACCAGUUCCCAAAAGGUACCCAGAGGAAAGGUUUCUACAAAACUUAAUAAGGUCUUUGCCCCAUGCAGGCAGCAGCUCAGGCUAGGCCACCCCGACAUGAUGGGGUAACCCCCUUCUGUACAGUCAGACUGGCAGGGGUGCCGCCGUGCUCACGGUGCCCAGAGGUGGUGCUUGCCGCCAGGUCCACGUGGGCCCGACCCAGCCGCUUAAAGCCCAAGCGCGUGCACCUCCCACCACAGCAGCAGCGCGCCGGAAGUCCCGCCCUUCACCUCCCAGAUCGAAGGGUAGGACAUCCCCUUCCCCCCACGUCAUCCCGCCCGCGCCCUCCCCCACUCCCUCCAGCCGAACCCCUCCUCACGUUGCCCGGAUGUGGGAGGCCGCGGGCGGUGGCGGCCUCGCGCACAAUGAGCCCAAGCCGAGCUAGCAAGAGGGGAGAUUGCACAACACUUAGAAGCGAAGCAGACUGGGGGAGGGGAACGCCUCAGGCCACCAUGUGCUCGCUCCCUCGACCACCCGGCGGCGUCUCCCACCCCUCCAUGGUACAAUCCACAUCCCGUCCGCCCCCGUCGCGAAGUCGCAUCGCCCUCCCAUACCUCAGGCCGCUCACCCCCGAAGGAAAGUGGACCUGCCCAUCCGCAGUUUGCCAAUAGCCCGGCUUGUGCGGCAAAAUGGACCCGCCCGCCCGGCGCCGGGUGGGCUCCUGGUGCCUCACGCGGCCGCUCCUCGGGGUUAGGGUCAGUCCUGGCCGUCAAGAAAACCAGCACACUGAACGGCCGGUUUCUUCUCCCCGGCCCUUAUUUUAGCCGCGACGAAGCGACUAGAUUUGAGGACUCAGGCACCCCCGCCUCCGGCGAGUGGUACCGUCAGAAUCCUCCGGAACCCUGAGAACCGUCCCUCCCCCGGCACAGUGAGGUAACCGGACCUGCGGGCUCUGGGCCACACACAGUGGGGGCCGCCCCCACCUUCCUUUCCCACGCCAAGUCGCGACCCCGUCUCGCCACUCAACGCCGGGACUUCGCGUACGGCACCGCCUCCAGCCGAGACCUCGUAACAAACCUCGCACGCCUGACACUAGCCGGGCUGUCCCUACCCUCCGCCUCGACUGUAGUGGCCGCGUCGGCCGUGGGAUCGUCCCCCUCGCUUCCCUAGGACGGAUUUCCCCCCCAGCUCGGUUUCCCUGCAACCCUGGUGUGCCUUUCAGCUCCCCCCGGCAGACCCGUUGGAAGGGGUCGGUAAGCAACGAUGGGAUUCUACACCGCCUGGACGUGUACGUGUACCAGGGAUGAAGGAAUCAAGAGUGAUAUCCUAGAGAUGGGAGGAUUCCCCUGGCUGGAGGGUGGAGGAGGGAUGGAAGAAAACUGUAAAGAGCUUUGGGUUACUGUCAUGAAUCCUGGCUGGCUCCCCCUCCCCUGUGCCUUGUGUCCAGUUCCCCAGCUUCCCUCUAGGGCACCCUUAUUUUUGAGGCUUACCUACUUUCCCUUCUUUCUGCCCUCUGCUUCCAUCGGGGGAUUUGUUUGAGUGAUAAAGACAUGAUGUUGGCACUGCCCAA